CAAUUGGGCGACCCAAGUGGUGCCAUUCAAUCAAAUUUAGUCACUUGGAAUAUUCAUCUUCGUUUGUCUUCACUCUUCUUCACAUUAUUUGACUCCGUCUCGGCUCUAGGCUUCUACCAACUACAUGUCUGCAUAUGGUGGGGCAUCGAAGUUGAGUUUUUAACUUCACGAUUUAACACUUUCCAAGAGACGAGUUUGAGUCUCUGCAUUCUGGCUCUGAGAUUGAAGAACCAAAAACAAGAAGAAGAAGAAGAAAAACAGAGUCAUGGGGAAGGUUCCAGCACUACCAAUAGUUGGGAUGGUGUUGGCUGAGAGUGCACAAGCUGGGCUAAUUAUAGUGAGCAAAGUAGCCAUGUCUAAUGGCAUGAGCAACCUCAUCUUUCUCUGCUACUCAAACGCUCUUGCAGCCCUUAUCCUCCUCCCAAUUUCCUUAGCCUUCCACAGAUCCGAGCGUCCUCCUCUCACUUUCUCUACCCUCUGUUGGUUCUUCUUGCUUGGUCUAAUUGGAUUCAUGGCGCAGUUUUUUGGGUAUGCUGGGAUUAAUUUGAGCUCUCCUACUCUGAGCACGGCUAUGCUCAACCUCAUUCCAGCUUUUACCUUUAUACUGGCAGUCAUCUUCAGAAUGGAAAGAAUUGAUGGGAGAAGCUCCAGUAGCCUUGCUAAAAUCUUGGGAACAAUAGUUUCAAUUUCAGGGGCUUUCAUUGUUACUCUUUACAAGGGCCCCCCACUUCUGAUGACAUCCUCAACUGAUAUAUUGUCUCAUAACCAACUUUUCUUGGAACAAUCAAACUGGGUCCUUGGAGGAAUGUGUAUUGCGCUUAAUUGUGUGUUGACCUCAUCUUGGCUUAUAGUACAGGCAUCAGUUCUAGAGAAAUACCCCGCAGAGCUGAUUAUGGUAUUUUAUUAUUGCUUCUUUGUGGCUAUUCAAUCUGUAGUAGUCUCUUUGACUGUAGAAAGAGACCUAAGUGCGUGGGAAUUGAAGCCUAAAAUCAGGUUGAUCGCUGUUCUAUACUCGGGAGUCUUUGGCUCAGCAUUCCAGGUUGGUGUAUGUACUUGGUGCCUUCACAGGACAGGGCCUGUUUUUGUAGCUAUGUUCAAGCCUUUGGGGAUUGUCAUUACAGUUUUCGUUGGUGUCACCUUCUUAGGAGAUACUUUCUACCUUGGAAGUUUGAUAGGAGCAAUUGUUAUUGUCAUUGGAUUUUAUUCUGUGAUGUGGGGAAAAGCAAAAGAAGAGAAGAUGGAUGAUGAUGCAGGGGCAAGGAGUGUGGCAUCAAGUAAACAACGGGCCCCUUUAUUGCAGAGCCAUAUUGAAGAAAUAUAGAAGUUUCUUUGCAGUACAUCGCCCUGUGAGGUCUCUCUUGCCAAAAAACAUGGGUACUCUGUUGCUUUUGUCUUAGUUCUUUUAAAAUGCUACCCUUUCCAUCAUUUUUGAAAACUGGGAUUGGUUAUCGUGGGAGUUGUUUUGCUCAGGCCAUGCUUCUACUCUUUUUUCUUUUUCCUGGAAGAUGGUAAUCCUGCAUACAUCCAAAGGCAGUUUGUUGGUGCAAACUGAGCAUAGUUGCAAGUUUGCUGUAAAGGUACAAAUACCAUGAGAAGGUCAUGAACAUGUGGAGCAUGAUCAAAGAUAUCAGCAGCAUGAGUUGAAUAUUGAGUUUGCAGGGUCAAAGCUGCCUCAAGAGCAACAUGUCAGUGAGGAGCAGCUCCUUUGCUUGGAAGUGAAAUCUACUCUUUCUCUUUGGUUUUUAGAUGUAUGAUAUCCUUCAUUACUUGUCGUAAAUAAGGUAAUAAUGUUGGAAUCAGGCAUUGUGGGGAGAAAAUGAUGGCAAAGGCCAAAGUACUUGAACAUAUUUUCAACUGUGUAAUCAAAUACAAUAUAAGAAUCUUAUAAUCAUAUAUCAAGAGCUUUCAUACA